CACCGCGGUUAUACGAGAGGCCCAAGUCGAUAGUCAACGGCGUAAAGAGUGGUUAGAGAAACCCCGUUACUAAAGCCGAACCCCUUCAAGGCUGUUAUACGCUUACCGAAGAGGAGAAGCCCACCUACGAAAGUAGCUUUAUAAUCUUGAACCCACGAAAGCUAAGAAA
rnacentral:rRNA from 1 species